CAGGGUGGGUGCAAACCCAGAAGGCGAUGAUCCCAUACUCACAAGAAAAGCCGCUAAACUUUGAAGCAUCAUGACCGUACUGCAAACCGACUCAGGUGGGCAGGAAGAGAAUUCCAAGGUGAUUGAGUGAAACCAGGCUAAGGAACUCGGCAAAUUAACACCGUAACUUCGGGAUAAGGUGUGCCAGCAGCGUGAGACGAGAAACUCGUCAGAGCGUAGUCUGGUUGCAGAGAAGAGGGGGUAGCGACUGUUUACCAAAAACACAGCACUCUGCUAAAUCGUAAGAUGACGUAUAGGGUGUGACGCCUGCCCGGUGCUGGAAGGUUAAAAGGAGAUGUUAUCGCAAGAAAAGCAUCGAAUUGAAGCCCCAGUAAACGGCGGCCGUAACGAUAACGGUCCUAAGGUAGCGAAAUUCCUUGUCGGGUAAGUUCCGACCUGCACGAAUGGCGUAACGACUUCCCCGCUGUCUCGGCCUGGUGCUCAGCGAAUUUGAAAAUCGGGUGAAGAUGCCCGAUACCCGCAGCAAGACGGAAAGACCCCGUGAACCUUUACUAUAGCUUGGCAUUGGUAUUCGGAUUGAUUUGUGUAGGAUAGGUGGGAGACUUUGAAGCGGAGGCGCUAGCUUUCGUGGAGUCGUCCUUGAAAUACCACCCUGAUCAAUUGGACUAUCUAACCUCGGCCCCUUAUCGGGGCUAGGGACACUGUCUGGUGGGUAGUUUGACUGGGGCGGUCGCCUCCAAAAAAGUAACGGAGGCGCACAAAGGUUCCCUCAGACCGGAUGGAAAUCGGUCGUAGAGUGCAAAGGCAUAAGGGAGCUUAACUGCAAGAGCGACAGCUCGAGCAGGUACGAAAGUAGGUCUUAGUGAUCCGGUGGUUCCGCAUGGAAGGGCCAUCGCUCAACGGAUAAAAGGUACUCCGGGGAUAACAGGCUGAUCUCCUCCAAGAGUUCACAUCGACGAGGAGGUUUGGCACCUCGAUGUCGGCUCAUCACAUCCUGGGGCUGAAGCAGGUCCCAAGGGUUUGGCUGUUCGCCAAUUAAAGUGGUACGCGAGCUGGGUUCAGAACGUCGUGAGACAGUUCGGUCCCUAUCUGCUGUGGGCGCAGGAAAUUUGAGAGGGUCUGUCCUUAGUACGAGAGGACCGGGAUGGACGUACCUAUGGUGUAUCUGUUGUCGCGCCAGCGGCAUCGCAGGGUAGCUAUGUACGGUCGGGAUAACUAAAA
rnacentral:rRNA from 1 species